UAACAAGGAUUCCCCUAGUAACUGCGAGUGAAGAGGGAAGAGCUCAAAUUUGUAAUCUGGCGGCCUCUGGCCGUCCGAGUUGUAAUCUGUAGAGGCGUUGUCUGUGUCGGUCCGUGUACAAGUCUCCUGGAAUGGAGCGUCAUAGAGGGUGAGAAUCCCGUCCAUGACACGGGCCACCGAUGCACUGUGAGGCGCCCUCGAAGAGUCGCGUUGUUUGGGAAUGCAGCGCAAAAUGGGUGGUAAAUUCCAUCUAAGGCUAAAUAUGGGCGAGAGACCGAUAGCGAACAAGUACCGUGAGGGAAAGAUGAAAAGCACUUUGAAAAGAGAGUUAAACAGUACGUGAAAUCGUUGAAAGGGAAACGCUUGAAGUCAGUCGCGUUUUAAGGCACUCAGCCUUGCUUUCGCUUGGUGUACUUGCCUUGAGAUGGGUCAACAUUAAUUUUGGCUGGUGGAUAAGGGCGAGGGGAAUGUAGCGUCAUUUCGGUGGCGUGUUAUAGCCUCUCGUCGAAUGCAUUAGUUAGGAUUGAGGAAUGCAGCACGCCCUGGUGGCCAGAGGUUCCCCUCAUGUAACGUGCUUUGGAUGUUGGCAUAAUGGCUUUAAGCGACCCGUCUUGAAACACGGACCAAGGAGUCUAACAUGCUUGCGAGUGUUCGGGUGGAAAACCCUUGCGCGUAAUGAAAGUGAAAGUUGGGAGCCUCCGUGAGGGGGUGCACUGACGCCCGGCCCUGAAGUUCUCUGACGGUGCUGCGGUGGAGCAAGUAUGUUGGGACCCGAAAGAUGGUGAACUAUGCCUGAAUAGGGUGAAGCCAGAGGAAACUCUGGUGGAGGCUCGCAGCGAUUCUGACGUGCAAAUCGAUCGUCAAAUUUGGG
rnacentral:rRNA from 1 species